CGGCAUGCCUAACACAUGCAAGUCGAACGAGAUCUUCGGAUCUAGUGGCGCACGGGUGAGUAACGCGUGGGAACCUACCUUUUAGUACGGGACAACGUUUGGAAACGAACGCUAAUACCGUAUACGCCCUCCGGGGGAAAGGUCAGCCGCUGAAAGAGGGGCCCGCGUCUGAUUAGCUUGUUGGUAAGGUAAUGGCUUACCAAGGCUUCGAUCAGUAGCUGGUCUGAGAGGAUGAUCAGCCACACUGGGACUGAGACACGGCCCAGACUCCUACGGGAGGCAGCAGUGGGGAAUAUUGGACAAUGGAGGCAACUCUGAUCCAGCAAUGCCGCGUGUGUGAUGAAGGCCUUAGGGUUGUAAAGCACUUUCAACGGUGAAGAUGAUGACGGUAGCCGUAGAAGAAGCCCCGGCUAACUUCGUGCCAGCAGCCGCGGUAAUA
rnacentral:rRNA from 1 species